rnacentral:rRNA from 1 species
AUUGAACGCUGGCGGCAGGCCUAACACAUGCAAGUCGAACGAGUGGCGGCCGGGUGAGUAAUGUAUGGGAAACUGCCUGAUGGAGGGGGAUAACUACUGGAAACGGUGGCUAAUACCGCAUACUAUCGGCUGACCCCAUAUGGGAUUAGCUAGUAGGUGGGUUAAAGGCUCACAUAGGCGACGAUCUCUAGCUGGUCGGCGAGGAGGACCGGCCAAACGGGAACUGCGACACGGUCCAGACUCCUACGGAAGGCAGCAGUGGGGAAUCUUCCACAGUGGGCGAAAGCCUGAUGCAGCAAGGCCGCGUGUAUGAAGAAGGCCUUCGGUUUGUAAAAGACUUUUAUCGGGGAGGCGGUACCCGCACAGAAAGCACCGGCUAACUCCGUGCCAGCAGCCGCGGUAAUUC